rnacentral:rRNA from 1 species
UCGGAUCGCAGCCUGCAACCCGGCUGCGUGAAGCUGGAAUCGCUAGUAAUCGCGGAUCAGAAUGCCGCGGUGAAUACGUUCCCGGGUCUUGUACACACCGCCCGUCACACCAUGGGAGCCUGGAAUGCCCGAAGCCGGUGGCCGAACCGAGAGGGCGGAGCCGCCUAAGGCAGGCCCGGUGACUGGGGUGAAGUCGUAACAAGGUAGC